rnacentral:lncRNA from 1 species
UGUUUUACACUUUUGGAUCAAACAAGCCAAAAAAGGAAGAACAACGGAUAAACCUGAUAAACUCAUUCAUCUCUUUUUUCCAGAUUUGUCCCAAUCCACUCCAGAUCCAAAUUCUCCAACAAAAACCUCCCUCUAAAUUUUCUCCCUGAAUAUGAAUAUGCAAAUAGAAUCAACAAACUAGACCAAAUAAGUCUGGAUCGAACGUAUUCCCAAAUGGAACACUAACUCAUUCUUUUACUAAAUUCAACAUAAUUUACAUCAAGAUACAUGGAUUGGAGGGAAACAAAAGCAAUAAAACGCAGUAAACGACAUAAAAGCGCUACGAAAGUGGAAACAUAAACCUCGCCGGAACCUGGAACUUCCAGGUCUCCAACGAGAACUCUGGCGGUUAAAGAAAAGCACAUAUGGUACUUCUACUUCCUUUUCUCCUUCUUUAUUUUUUAGGCUUCUCCUUCUUCUUUAGAGUUCUACUCCUCCUUCUAUGUAGUGAUGAAGCAACUUGAACCUUAGAAGUGUUUUACAAGCAAACAUUUUGGUGAUUGAAGGUGUGGAUGUAGCAGCGUAUUUUGCAAGAAUUUUUUGGUGUCUCAAGAUGUAAUGAAGGGUAGUUUAUAUAGGGGAUUGAGGGUGAAGUGAGGUUCUUCUGAGGUGAAAUUUGGAGGGAGUUUGUGAAUUUUGGGGGGGAAAUUAGGUGCAUGAAAUUCAUGUGUGCAGGGUGAUGAAUUGUGUGACUCUUGAUGGUGAAAAUGUGUGAUUGAGCAUGUAUGUGUGAUGUAUGGAAAUGGAUAUGAGGAUGGUGAUGUGUAGCGCGUAAUCUCGUGUUAUGUUUAUGUAAUAAAAUAAAACUUUCAUUUUAUUUCAAUUUGGAUUUCAUUGUAUUCUUCUUCUUUCACUUUUGUUU